UCCUGCUAACUGCGAUAAGGAGUGGGCUGGACAAUGCCGAGAGAUGAGUUUCAGAUUGUUCUGCGUUGUAGCAUCUUGUGUCUAUAAAAUGAGAUGCUCUUUAUGCGUACACAAUCCUUUCGGCUGCAGUUAAAAAAAAAAAUAUAACGUUAAUCAUGGAGAACUGCAAAUAUGUUACACUAACAACAAAGGAUAGAGGGAAAAAGUUGUGAUGGACUACUUUCUGGAGGAUGAUCGUGUCAUGCUGACAUUGUAGUCUUCUGAUGACAGUGAUGGAUGGGGAAGGAACGGCGAUCAACCAUCAAAAGGACACACCUGACAAUCCUCCACCAGUCAUACAAAGAGAAUGGUCUAAUGCCUCCCAUCAAAAAGAGCAGUGUGGCGUCUCUACAAGGAAUCGAUGACAACACUUUGAUUAUUUAAUUAACCUGUAACAUGAUUGGCUGUACUUUUAUUGAUAUCACAUUAUUUCUGUCUCUAGGGGCCCCUAACUGAACUAGCCACAGUCUGGACCUUCAUUUCCUGACCAUAUGCCACACCAAGUAUGCCCCAGACAGGUGCUUCGGCCUCAUUAAGCAGCGCUUCAGAAAGACCAGAGUGAACACUUUGUCUGAGAUUGCUGGUGUUGUGAAGGACAGCACCAUGACAGGGGUCAACAUCACACAGCUGGUUGGACUGGAAAAUGAUACGGUGCUGGUGGAAAGCUUUGCCUGGGAACAACACCUGACUCUGUACCACAGAUCAAGCAGUACCAGCAUUUCAGCUUCGAUGCUCUGGAGCCGUGUGUUUUUGUAGCUAAGGAGCGUUCGGACUGUCGGGACCAGGUUUCAGCUGCUGCGCAAAGCUGACAUCCUUCCUCCCAUAGUUGGUCUGCCUGUACAACACCACCUGGACUGGACACUUUUUAGAAGAUCAGGGAGUUUUGCAACGAGGAGGCUAUGGACAUCAUAUGCCCUGCAUCAAAGUCAAGGGCAGGACAGAAACAGGCUCUCCGAAUAUGUGGUUCUGACAGACCAGUCAUCAGCACUAUCCGCAGUGCCUCUAUUCAAAUGACUCUCCUGCUACUAUUUUUUUUAUUUUAUCCUACUGCCCAGCCACUUUACCCCUGAUUGUAUGCAUACAACUACCUCGUCUAUCACUGAUAUCGUUGUUGAUAUUGUUCUUGUACAUACUGUAUAUUAUUUUAUUGACACUAUUUCUGAUAUUGUUACUAUGCCAGUAACCAUUUGGCUGUACCGUUUACACCUUCUGUAGCGACCCAUCCACUUAGCAAUACUUAGCAAUAUUCAUUUUAUAUAUCAAUAUUUUGCUAUGUGUGGUUGUAACAUGAUUUUGUAACAUACCACAACAAUAUCAUGUGACCGUAUCAACAUCACUCAGGUUGCAUGGCCUUAACUUAUGUAUGGAAUACUAUGUGAUAUAUUGAUUGAUUAUACUACUAAGUGUGUAACAGUAUAUAAAGUAUGCUAAUGCACUGGUGUGAAGGCUGGUGUGAAGGCAUUUGGGCAGUGGUAAGUAAAAAUACUUUAAAGUACUACAAGUAUUUCUUUACUAUUUAUAUUUUUUGGGAACUUUUAAUUCACUACAUUAUUUUCUUUCUUAAUGUACUUUUUACUCCAUACAUGUUCCUUAAAUUUUGACAGGAAAGUUGUCCAAUUCACACACUUAUCAAGAGAAAAUCCCUGGUCAUUGUUAAGGGAAUUUUUAUCAAUGAUGACUAAUUAUGUAUACAUUUCAAUCAGGACUGACUAGUCCAAAUGUUAUGUACUGUACAUGUAUGAAUUUUAUCUCUUGCUCCCAAUUGUAUAUAAUAUAUAAUAGUAUAAUAUAGUCAGGCGUUCAGAACAAUGCCUUGGUACAAAUGAAUGAACUAUCUCCAGAUGGCAGGGACGGACUAUCUCCAGACUGUCUAGAAUGCUAUCUACACUGACUGACCUUGGCUUUAGGCGAGGAGGGAAGGCUCAAGAACUAUAGGGCCUCUCUACCAGUGUCAAGAAGAGAUAGAACAUUUAGAAAACGCUGACGUCAUUUUCAGUUUAUAACCUGUGGCAAAAUGUGUAUGAAGCAGUACUCUCUUGAAUUAAAUGCUGUUACCUGACUUUUAAGACCGGGGCUCCGUCCAUUCUUAU